GACGAACGCUGGCGGCGUGCCUAAUACAUGCAAGUAGAACGCUGAAGGAGGAGCUUGCUUCUCUGGAUGAGUUGCGAACGGGUGAGUAACGCGUAGGUAACCUGCCUGGUAGCGGGGGAUAACUAUUGGAAACGAUAGCUAAUACCGCAUAAGAGUAGAUGUCGCAUGACAUUUGCUUAAAAGGUGCAAUUGCAUCACUACCAGAUGGACCUGCGUUGUAUUAGCUAGUUGGUGAGGUAACGGCUCACCAAGGCAACGAUACAUAGCCGACCUGAGAGGGUGAUCGGCCACACUGGGACUGAGACACGGCCCAGACUCCUACGGGAGGCAGCAGUAGGGAAUCUUCGGCAAUAGACGGAAGUCUGACCGAGCAACGCCGCGGGAGUGAAGAAGGUUUUCGGAUCGUAAAGCUCUGUUGUAAGAGAAGAACGAGUGUGAGAGUGGAAAGUUCACACUGUGACGGUAUCUUACCAGAAAGGGACGGCUAACUACGUG
rnacentral:rRNA from 1 species